AUGGAUUCCAUCUUAGCUAACGGUACCUGGGAGAUCACUGACCGUCCAUAUGGGUGCAAACCUGUAGGAUGUAAGUGGGUGUUCAAGAAGAAGCUUAGACCUGAUGGCUUUGUAGUAAACGAUGGUGACAAGUGCGUGUACUAUCGCUAUGGUGGGGGCGAAGGAGUUAUUCUUUGUCUGUAUGUCGAUGACAUAUUGAUCUUUGGAACCAAACUUGAUUUAAUCAAGGAGGUUAAGGAUUUCUUAUCUCGCUGUUUUGAGAUGAAGGAUCUAGGAGUAGCUGAUGUUAUCUUAAACAUCAAGCUGUUGAGAGAUGAGAAUGGUGGGAUCACACUGCUUCAGUCUCAUUAUGUGGAAAAGGUCUUGAGUCGUUUUGGCUAUUUGAAAGGCACCGCUAGCUAUGGGAUUCACUACACCGGGUAUCCAAGGGUACUGGAGGGUUAUAGUGACUCAAACUGGAUAUCUGAUGCUGAUGAGAUUAAGGCCACAAGUGGUUAUGUUUUUACACUUGGUGGUGGCGCUGUUUCCUGGAAGUCUUGCAAGCAGACCAUCUUAACGAGGUCAACUAUGGAAGCAGAACUCACAGCAUUAGACACUGCCACUGUUGAAGCAGAGUGGCUUCGUGAACUCUUGAUGGACUUACCUAUGGUUGAAAAACCAAUACCCCCUAUCCUGAUGAACUGUGAUAAUCAAACUGUGAUCGUCAAGAUAAACAGUUCUAAGGACAAUAUGAAG
rnacentral:rRNA from 1 species